rnacentral:lncRNA from 1 species
CGCGGGCUCCCGCAGCCGGCAGCAAUGACUACCUGUCCCACGAGGGGCCCCGCCAGACGCUGGCCAUCAAGCAGGCGAUGUGCUGGAAGUACACACCCAUGGGGCGCGACGCUGCCGGUCCACAGUGGUCCAUGGGCCUGACCAGCUCGGACCCCCGAGAAGCCUGGAACACGCUCCCUCAGGCGCUCUGGACAGCCCAUACCUCGAGGCUUAUGUCCACAAGCGCGGAUGCCACAGCCCCCAGGAGCGCAGCAUGCCCUCGGCCUACACCCAGCGGCUCC